rnacentral:rRNA from 1 species
UACGUAGGUGGCAAGCGUUGUCCGGAUUUACUGGGCGUAAAGGAUGCGUAGGCGGACAUUUAAGUCAGAUGUGAAAUACCCGAGCUUAACUUGGGUGCUGCAUUUGAAACUGGGUGUCUAGAGUGCAGGAGAGGUAAGUGGAAUUCCUAGUGUAGCGGUGAAAUGCGUAGAGAUUAGGAAGAACACCAGUGGCGAAGGCGACUUACUGGACUGUAACUGACGCUGAGGCAUGAAAGCGUGGGGAGCAAACAGA